rnacentral:lncRNA from 1 species
GGUCGCCUGGGCUGGGGGCUGCGGCCUGGUCGAGGCCGCGGGAGGGAACGGAAGAGCCCGGCGGGGGCCACGGAAACCCGCGCAGGGAGGAUCCGGGGCCGCGCGGCGAGGGAGCCCGGCCCGAGCGGGAGGUGCGCGCCCCGCUGCGCUCGGGAACCUCCGCGGCCUCCCCGUCGCCGCCGGACGAAGCCCCGGCGUCUUCGCGGCCUCAUCUCCCUCCCCCGGCACCCGCCGUACUCUCCGCGCCCGACGCCUUGUGCCUGGACUUGCUGCUCAUUUUGACGCCUCCGAGCUUUCGCUCUUGACGUCUUUCUCCCGCGUGACUGUACUCCCGCAUUUCCCCGGCGACCCUGACCUCACUUUCACCCCAGCUAAGGACUGAAACGUCCCUGCCGUAGGCUGCGGCCCCAGACAAGCUGGGCGAGGUCCCUGCAUCCAACCAUCCCGAUUCCUGAUGCUGGGUUACCUAAGCCUAAAGCAUUUUCAGUUUCCAUCUGUGCCUUUCAGGAACCUCCUGAUUUCUGAUUGCGAGUUGGACAGUGUGGUCCCCGGACCAGCAGCAUUGACAUCACCUGGGAGCUGGUGAGGAAUCCAGACUCUUAGGCCCUGCCGGGACCUGCUGAAUCGGAACCUGCAAUUUACCAAGACCUGUACACACAUUACAUACUUCCUUGCAGUAGGAGCGGUCAUGGAUUUGGUUCUGGCCUGUGAGUCCUAAGAAACCUUCUGGGAAUGUUUUUACAUUUCUGAUAAGAAGAAGUGGUUGUGGCUGGGACUGUUAUUUCUUCUUUUCCAUCUCUGA